rnacentral:rRNA from 1 species
GAUGAACGCUAGCGGCAGGCCUAAUACAUGCAAGUCGAACGGUGUCUUCGGACAUAGUGGCGCACGGGUGCGUAACACGUAUGCAACCUACCUUACAUUGGGGGAUAGCCUUUCGAAAGGGAGAUUAAUACCGCAUAAGACAGUAACUAGGCAUCUAGUAGCUGUUAAAGAUUUAUCGAUGUAAGCUGGGCAUGCGUCCAAUUAGCUAGUUGGUGAGGUAACGGCUCACCAAGGCAAUGAUUGGUAGGGGAACUGAGAGGUCAAUCCCCCACACUGGCACUGGGAUACGGGCCAGACGCCUACGGGAGGCAGCAGUAGGGAAUAUUGGGCAAUGGACGCAAGUCUGACCCAGCCAUGCCGCGUGCAGGAUGAAGGCGUUAUGCGUUGUAAACUGCUUUUAUACAGGAAGAAACGACUCUUGCGAGAGGCAUUGACGGUACUGUAUGAAUAAGCACCGGCUAACUCCGUGCCAGCAGCCGCCGUAAGAC